rnacentral:tRNA from 1 species
UCAAAGGUUUGGUAAAAAAGCACCCUUUUUAGGAGUGAAGAGAGAGUAGUGAAGAGUGAAUAACUAUAAUAGCAUCUAACUCUUAACUAUUAGUUCUUAAUUCUAUCGAUUUCACUAGAAACGGGACUAUAGCUCAGUUGGUUAGAGUGCACCCCUGAUAAGGGUGAGGUCUCAGGUUCAAAUCCUGAUAGUCCCACCAUUUUUGCGUUAUUUGCACAAAGCAAAAAACUCGUGUACUUAUUGGGUACACUUCGUUUUUACCUUUGCACAACUAACCCAAAAAUAUUCACGAAUGGGGAAUUAGCUCAGCUGGGAGAGCGCCUGCUUUGCACGCAGGAGGUCAGCGGUUCGAUCCCGCUAUUCUCCACCAUCUUCUUGCAAAAGAGGAUGAGGGGAAGAUUCGCACAAGAAACACCGAUAAAAAGAGAAGUUUUUAACAUUGUAAAAAAGAUAUGAAGAUAGAGAGAAGUUUAAAAGAAGAGCUUAAUGAAGUUUUUCUUUUAGACUUUAGGGUCUAAGUGUUCAAUUAAAGUAUUAUUGUCAAAUGAUUAGCAAAGUAAAGUAUCUUUCAUAGCAAUAUGAAUGAUAUAAAAACUACAAUGAACAAAAAUUGUAAUUUUACCAAACACGCAAAUUAGAAUAUAAAUACAUAAAGAUCUUAGUACUCAUA